AAAGCUUUAAGUUAAAUAAACUAUUAACCUUCAAAGUUAAAUAUAUAUAUACAUUAUAUAAGCUUUA
rnacentral:tRNA from 1 species